rnacentral:rRNA from 1 species
GACGAACGCUGGCGGCGUGCCUAAUACAUGCAAGUCGAGCGGAACUGGGGGAGCUUGCUCCUUCCAGUUUAGCGGCGGACGGGUGAGUAACACGUGGGCAACCUGCCCUGCAGAUCGGGAUAACUCCGGGAAACCGGUGCUUAUACCGAAUAGUUUGGCGCCUCUCCUGAGGCGCUACGGAAAGACGGUUUCGGCUGUCACUGCAGGAUGGGCCCGCGGCGCAUUAGCUAGUUGGUGGGGUAACGGCCCACCAAGGCGACGAUGCGUAGCCGACCUGAGAGGGGGACCGGCCACACUGGGACUGAGACACGGCCCAGACUCCUACGGGAGGCAGCAGUAGGGAAUCUUCCGCAAUGGACACAAGUCUGACGGAGCAACGCCGCGUGAGUGACGAAGGUUUUCGGAUCGUAAAACUCUGUUGUGAGGGAAGAACACGUACCGACUAACUAUUGGUACCUUGACGGUACCUCGCCAGAAAGCCACGGCUAACUACGUGCCAGCCGCCGCGGUAA